GACGAACGCUGGCGGCGUGCUUAACACAUGCAAGUCGAACGGUGAAGCCCUUCGGGGUGGAUCAGUGGCGAACGGGUGAGUAACACGUGAGCAACCUGCCCCUGGCUCUGGGACAACCACUGGAAACGGUGGCUAAUACCGGAUACGACCCGCCUCGGCAUCGAGUGUGGGUGGAAAGUUUUUCGGCUGGGGAUGGGCUCGCGGCCUAUCAGCUUGUUGGUGAGGUGAAGGCUCACCAAGGCGACGACGGGUAGCCGGCCUGAGAGGGCGACCGGCCACACUGGGACUGAGACACGGCCCAGACUCCUACGGGAGGCAGCAGUGGGGAAUAUUGCACAAUGGGCGAAAGCCUGAUGCAGCGACGCCGCGUAAGGGAUGACGGCCUUCGGGUUGUAAACCUCUUUCAGCUCCGAAGAAGCGAAAGUGACGGUAGGAGCAGAAGAAGCACCGGCUAACUACGUG
rnacentral:rRNA from 1 species